rnacentral:rRNA from 1 species
GAUGAACGCUGGCGGCGUGCCUAAUACAUGCCAGUCGAGCGAACGGACGAGAAGCUUGCUUCUCUGAUGUUAGCGGCGGACGGGUGAGUAACACGUGGAUAACCUACCUAUCAGACUGGGAUAACUUCGGGAAACCGGAGCUAAUACCGGAUGAUAUUUUGAACCGCAUGGUUCAAAAGUGAAAGACGGUCUUGCUGUCACUUAUAGAUGGAUCCGCGCUGCAUUAGCUAGUUGGUAAGGUAACGGCUUACCAAGGCAACGAUGCAUAGCCGACCUGAGAGGGGGAUCGGCCACACUGGAGCUGAGACACGGUCCAGGCUCCUACGGGAGGCAGCAGUAGGGAAUCUUCCGCAAUGGGCGAAAGCCUGACGGAGCAACGCCGCGUGAGUGAUGAAGGUCUGCGGAUCGUAAAACUCUGUUAUUAGGGAAGAACAUAUGUGUAAGUAACUGUGCACAUCUUGACGGUACCUAAUCAGAAAGCCACGGCUAACUACGU